rnacentral:rRNA from 1 species
CCUACGGGAGGCAGCAGUGGGGGAUAUUGCACAAUGGGGGGAACACUGAUGCAGCGACGCCGCGUGGGUGAAGGAGCGUUUCGGCGCGUAAAGCCCUAUUGGCAGGGAAGAAGGAGGACGGUACCUGACUAAGAAGCCCCGGCUUACUACGUGCCAGCAGCCGCGGUAAUACGUAGGGGGCAAGCGUUAUCCGGAUUUACUGGGUGUAAAGGGGGCGCAGACGGCAGCGCAAGCCAGGAGUGAAAGCCCGGGGCCCAACCCCGGGACUGCUGUUGGAACUGGGCGGCUGGAGUGCAGGAGGGGCAGGCGGAAGUCCUGGUGUAGCGGUGAAAUGCGUAGAUAUCAGGAGGAACACCGAUGGCGAAGGCGGCCUGCUGGACUGCGACUGACGUUGAGGCCCGAAAGUGUGGGGAGCGAACAGGAUUAGAUACCCGAGUAGUC